rnacentral:lncRNA from 1 species
ACAUACACGCAAACACGCACGCGCGCAUGGGCUCGGACACACAAAGAACCCGGGCUCGCCGAGCGCGCGCGCACACCCUCAUGCCGCGCGGCGAACGUUCGUUGCCAGGUGCGGCAGCCCGCCCUGGGCGCCUCCUGCCUGCGGAAGAAGAGCAGGACAGACCCGACCCGACCCGCCUAGUCCUUUCCUUCACAGCAGCCUCCAAACUCCACCGCUCGCCUCUUCCGCCAGGCUCCUAGGAUGAGGCCCAGGGCUCCUGGAGCAGCCAGGUGCAAACCAGACCGGGCUCGCACUCCACUGCGUUGCCCUGGGCGAUCGUCCACGUUCUGGGAGACUCGGUAUGCCCCGGGAGGGUGGCCUGAGCUUGUGGUGUGAAGCCAGGUACAGAGCUCCAGAAUCCUGGCCUUGCCAUGGCUGUGUGACCCUGGGCAAGUGACUCAAUUUCUCUGCCUCAGUGUCCUCAUCUAUAAAAUGGAAAGGAAAAUAGUAGCGCUUGUCUCCUCCGGCUGUUAUGAAGAUCCAAGGUUAACAGCGUAGAGAACUCGGAACGCACCCGGCAUCUAGGAAGUGCCAAGCCAGUGUCAGCUAAUGUGACUAUUUUUAAAUGGAGAUGGGGAGUGUGCCAUUAUUCUUGUCCUUAUUUGAAUGAACGGGCCCUCAGGGACCAUUUUCCACUGCCCCGCCCUGGCAGCAUGAGAGGGAAACGCUGUGAGAACCCCGAACCCCAGCCUUCUCCUGUCCCUCUCUCUCUCUCUCUCUCUCUGCACCUGGGAGGCGGGGAGGAGAGAGCCGAUCCUUCCACCAUUUACACGGAGAAUGAAAGAAGAAAUACCGGCCAGGCGCGGUGGCUCAUGCCUGUAAUCCCAGCACUUUGGGAGGCCGAGGGGGCAGAUCACCUGAGGUCAGGAGUUCGAGACCAGCCUGGCCAACAUGGCGAAACUCCGUCUCUACUAAAAGUACAAAAAUUAGCCUGGCGUGGUGCCGGGUGCCUAUAAUCCCAGCUACUCAGGAGGCUGAGGCAGGAGAAUCCCUUGAACCCGGGAGGCGGAGGUUGCAGUGAGCCGAGAUCACGCCACUGCACUCCAGCCUGGGUGACAAGAAUGAGUCUCAAAAAAACAAAAAAGAAGAAGAAGAAGAAAUACCACACAGGUCCGACCAAGAGCUGCCCCCACUCAGGCCAGGAUCCCUGCCUGGAAGGGCUCUGCAGCCACUCUCCCUGUACAGCCCCAGGAUGCUAAGGAGCAUCCCGAAGUGACACUGGCUCUCCCUGGAGGCCCCUGCCAUCGGACUCCAACCUGACCUUCCAGUGGGUGCUCCUCAUACUGGCUCCAGCCAAGACAGACGAGGACCACUGGGCACAUGCCCUUCCUUGCCUUCCUGUCACCCUUCCCACCCUUCUCUGCGGGCCCCGGGUGGCCCCUUCCUCCAGGAAGCACCUGGGGAUCAGCAGUGCCUCUAGGGUCCCAGUGGCCCACGUGACAUCUGCUUCUGGCCACCUGAGCACUCUCCUUUGAGUUCAGGGUCACUGUACCCUUUUAUAGGUGAGCAAACGAAAGCUGAGGAAGAGGAGUGACUGGGUCUCCCACAUCCCUCUGCUUCAGCUAUGAGGUUCCCUCAUGAACUGCAGGAAUAGACGUCAAGCAAAAACUCCUCAGACGCCCUGUGCAUGUGUGGUCGCACAGGGCACAAAGACUGAAGCAAAGGGGCAGGUCCUAGCGUGGGGAGGGGACUCCAGGAUUGAAGUUUGAACCAAAAGGAGGCUUUGACUAAGCCACGAGCAGUGAAGCCGGCAGGAGAGGAAGCAAGUUCUAGCAGAGGUAGGCCAGCGGAGCCUCAUGCAGGUAGUGCCAGCGCAAGACACACGAGUGAACCAUCUAUCCAGUUACCAGCUCCAUGAGGGAUGGGAUCUGUUCUUUUGCCUCCAUCAACUCCUGGAGUCUAUCAUAGGCCUGACACACAAAAUUCGCCGGGUAUGGUGGUGCAUGCCUAUGGUCCCAGCUACUCAGGAGGCUGAGGCAGGAGGAUCACUUGAGCCCGGGAGGUGAAGGCUGCGGUAAGCUAUGACUACACCACUGCACUCCAGCCUAGGUGCGAGAGCAAGACCCUGUCUCCAAACAACAACAACAACAACAAAAUCUGAAUGCCUGGUUUAUCUUGAAAUAUGGCAAAAUGGGGCCACCCAGGCCCAUUAACCCCCUGUCUACAAUGUCCUGGAGCUGAGGGGCAUUAGCCACCCUCUCACAUGGGCUCCCCAGGGUGCCACAGCUCCCUCCUAGCUAGUUUGCUCUUUUCUGUCACCUACCGGCCCUUGCAGGGAGCUGAAUUUGAGACCCAUGAUGCACUUUGUGCACCCUGCCCCCUCAAAGAUAACUGUGAGUACCAAGGGAAAUGGAAAGCUUUGGCAACAAGAAGGGAGCUUCAAGGAAAGCCAGGCCGAGGUUCCCCUCAGAACCAUAGACUAGCCUGAAAUUCCACUGGGACUAAUUCUUCUCAUUUCAAGAAUGAAAAUCGAUUGCUGGACAGAGCUCCCGGAGGGCCAAUUUUCAGGCUGUAGUCUACAGCCGUCCACGUAGAGGCAGUGAACGAAAUUUUUCAAAGCCUACUUUAUGAUUACUUUCUUUAGCAGCUCUCAACAGUAAAAUAAAAUUGAUCUAGGACUUUGAACAAAACUUCUCGCCCCUUUCUAGGGAAGAGUUUGUCUCGUCUAUCAGGCCACCAACAAGAGUUGUUGCAAUGCCUGUGGGAGGUGCAGCCCACGCUGGGCCACCUGGCCAGCUCAGGGAUCCUGCUGGAGAUCGAGGAUUGUCUGGUCGGCCUCUUACAACUCUCAGAACAUCAUCCCUGGGAGCAGCCCUGAAGAGACCAAGGAAUGGAAAAACAGAUGGAAGGACUGCAACUCACAGGUGAAAAGGAACCGGCUACGAGAGGCUCCAAACCAAGGGAGCAGCGGAGUUUGUCUCCAAAACACCGAGCCCAGUGAGAGAAGCCAGAGCCACAGACCAGAUGCCCUGCAGCCUCAGCUCCAGUGUCUCAUCCCCAGAGACCUUCCCAGACCACCAUGUCUCAGACAGCCCCGGCUGCCUCCUGCCUGCCCUGCACCAGCCCUGAGCCAUCGCCUCAUUUUAUUCUCAUUCUAACUUGGAUAAUGGGAUCUGCCUCUUACCAACUGUGACCUUAGGCACAGGAUCAGCCCCAAAUUGAGCCUCAUUUUGUCCAUCUGUAAAAUGAGGAUGGCACUAGAGCCCCGUCUAGGGUGAAUGUGAAGGUCAGAGCCUGCACAAGCUCAUAGCCACCAUGCAUGACUUGGGACUUCUGAAUGGGACCAAGAAAUAUCUAACAUGCGAUUUCCUGGAAAGCACAUAGGAGUUUGGCCCAGAUCCAGACUUGGCAGUUGCUCAAUCAAGAAGAAGCUGCCAGGCACAGUGGCUUGUGCCUGUAACCCCAGAACUUUGAGAGGCUGAGCGGGGUGGAUCACCCAAAGUCAGGAGUUCAAGACCAGCCUGGCCAACAUGGUGAAAUGCCGUCUCUACUAAAAAUACAAAAAUUCGCUGGGUGUGGUGGUGGGUGCUUGUAAUCCUAGCUACUCAGGAGGCUGAGACAGGAGAAUCCCUUGAACCCAGAGGCAGAGGUUACAGUGAGCCGAGAUCGUGCCACUGCCCUCCAGCCUGGGCAACAAAGAGUGAAACUCUUGUCUAAAAAAAAAAAGAAGAAGAAGAAGGAGAAGGAGAAGGAGCGGGAGAAGGAGAAGAAGAAGAAGAAGAAGAAGCCUCAGUGAAGUGCUCCAGCAUCUUCACCCCCUUGGUCACUUGCUCAUCUCCUUGAUGAACAAAAGCGGCCCCAGAUCAGAGCCAUCGAGCACCUGCAGCCAGCAAGGUUGGCUGGUUUUCAUUGUGUGCAUUUUUAAGGCGUCUUCUAUUUAUAGAAAGGAUUGUGGUCUUGCAUUUGUAGCAGCGAUGAAAGCUUUACUUUUUGGCAAAAUGUGUGCAAGUUGUUUAGAAGUGAGUCUGUUUGAAAAAAAAAAUUAAAUGAAUAAUGAUUUAGGAGGUGAGUUUGUUUCCUAGGGCUGCUGUGAUGAAGUGCCA